UACGUAGGGUGCGAGCGUUGUCCGGAAUUAUUGGGCGUAAAGGGCUCGUAGGCGGUCUGUCGCGUCGGGAGUGAAAACUCAGGGCUUAACCCUGAGCCUGCUUCCGAUACGGGCAGACUAGAGGUAUGCAGGGGAGAACGGAAUUCCUGGUGUAGCGGUGGAAUGCGCAGAUAUCAGGAGGAACACCGGUGGCGAAGGCGGUCU
rnacentral:rRNA from 1 species